rnacentral:rRNA from 1 species
GAUGAACGCUGGCGGCGUGCCUAAUACAUGCAAGUCGAGCGAAUGGAUUAAGAGCUUGCUCUUAUGAAGUUAGCGGCGGACGGGUGAGUAACACGUGGGUAACCUGCCCAUAAGACUGGGAUAACUCCGGGAAACCGGGGCUAAUACCGGAUAACAUUUUGAACCGCAUGGUUCGAAAUUGAAAGGCGGCUUCGGCUGUCACUUAUGGAUGGACCCGCGUCGCAUUAGCUAGUUGGUGAGGUAACGGCUCACCAAGGCAACGAUGCGUAGCCGACCUGAGAGGGUGAGCGGCCACACUGGGACUGGAACACGGCCCAGACUCCUACGGGAGGCAGUAGUAGGGAAUCUUCCGCAAUGGACGAAAGUCUGACGGAGCAACGCCGCGUGAGUGAUGAAGGCUUUCGGGUCGUAAAACUCUGUUGUUAGGGAAGAACAAGUGCUAGUUGAAUAAGCUGGCACCUUGACGGUACCUAACCAGAAAGCCACGGCUAACUACGUGCCAGCAGCCGCCGUAA